rnacentral:lncRNA from 1 species
UUUUUUUUUUUUACCUUUAAACACUAUCAAUUUUAUCCUCCCACCUCCCAUCCACUGGUAACCAGCAUUUUACUUUUUUUUAUGAGUUUGAUUUAGUUGUAUUCCACAUAUAAGUGACAUCAUAUAGUACUUGUCUAGGGGAAAAUAAUUUGGCAGUUUUUUCCCUUGCUAUUCUUUCUCUAAUACCAAAAAAGGAUACUAUAAAUACUUUAGUACUGAAGCUUCAGAGGAAGUUUACUUAAGACUUUUGAAAAUGCUGUUUAUAUGUUUUAUUGUCUAAGACAACUGAAAGUAUCUAAAAGCUCUCUUGUAAAAAAAAAUAAAUAAAAGCUCUCUUAUGUUGAAUAAAGAAGGGAUAGUUUGGGGUCACUUCAAUGCUUAUCUGUAUAUCUAUAUAAUAAUAUUUUUUAAAAAUUUUAAAAACUCAGAUACAGAAGUGGGAAAGAGAAGUCUACUAUUCAAAAUAAAGACAAUUCACCCAAUUACAGAGGUUAAAUCAGAAGCCUCUUAAAAACACAAAAGCAAAAACAAAGAAACUUGUUCUCAGAUUAAAAAGAACUUGUAAUAUAAAAUUCAUUUUACCAUCAUUCUUUUCAAAUUCUGCUUGAAUUUUAUUGAAUAAAACUUCUAGUUUCUUUUGUUGGAUUUCUGCAUAUUUUGUUGCUUCCUUUUCUUCCUCUCUUUCAUUGCGAAAUAUGCAUAAUCCAGAUGGGGUCCUCUCCAUCCACUGUAAUGAUGUGUCAAACAAAGAUACAUGGUAGAGAGGGAUCAUUCAAAUUAAUUGUCCCAAAAGGAAGAAAUACACAGUAAGCUUCAAGAGUAUAUCAUACCUGUAUUGGGUAUGCUCUUUGAACAACUACAUCAACACAACCAACAUUUCCUCCAUCACUGAAAAGUGAUGACAAGGGGAGAGGGAAAGGUCUAGGAUCAGGAGAGAAUCCAAGUUUGGUAUACCAGCAAGCAGGACGAGUACUGUUAGCAGAAAUCUGGACAAAUAAUGAACAAGUCAACUUGUAAGUUUAUAUUCAAUUUUACUUCAGAUGUCAUAACAUUUUCAUUCAUUCAAAAGCCUCAUGAAAAUAAAAAAGUAGAAAAACUGUACAAAAGUGAAAACACUUUCAAAAUAUAGUCUCAAAAAAUUGUUUAUGCUGUUAUAGUCUUAAUGUAAAUAUUACUAAUAGAAAAUUAAUAAAAGAGACUUCAAUUUAAACAUGAUGGAUGAAAAUGUACUUAUUUACUUAGGUUUCUUCAAAAGACCUACAGGGACAAAAAGGACUGAAGAGAGGAGGGUAGUGGAUGAAGCAUUAACACAAUUUUGGAAGCUGAAAAUUUAUUGGACAACUGGUAAAUAACAAAGAAGCCUGAGAAUGAUUACAGUUAAUAAAAGUAACAGACAUUCCUAAAGCACUUAUUCUGGUGCCUGGAUAGUGUUAAGUGCUUUAUAUCUAUUAACAUUUAAUCUUUACAACAAUCCCAAGGCAUAUCCCCAUUUUAUAAAUGAUAAAAGUCCAAUAUAACCUGCAUAAUAUGACUCAACUGGCAAAUUUGUAUGGAGCCAAUAGGAAACAAAAUAAUUUAAGGAAAUCACUCAGAAUUUGGAAACAACAGGUAUCUCUGAAGGAGCAUGAGGUGCAGCUAAUACUAGAAGGAAAGACAAUUAAGACCUCAGAUUUCAUUUCCCAUCCCGAGUAGUCAGGUGACCAUCCUUCUCUCACAUGAAGAACCUGGACAAUUUACUUUCUGGAGAUGCUUAAACACACAUAUCCUGCACCCCGAGCAACUGGAGUGAGGGUGAGAUGCUAUACUGAAAACAAAAAUGCAAUGAAAAUCUUUAUGCUAGACAUGAGUCUCCCAAUUAGUUUUCUUACUCUGUUCAGCUCUCAGUCACUGGUAUUUGAAGGUUUCCUAACAAAAUCAAGUCCCUGUCUUACCACUCUAAAGUUGACAAAGCCUACCUAUCACAGAGCUUCUGAUUAGCUCAUUAGUACCCCACUCUUGAAGAAGAAAGAACAGCUAACAAUUACCAGUUGAAGGAAGUCUCUAACCUGAGAGACCCAAACAAACAAAAAGGAGAUUAUAGGAAAAAAAAAAAAGCAGCAAGCAGAAAAAACUAAAAUAAAAUAUUAAUUGAUAGCUUCAGAAAGAUGAGAAGAUGUUGCAGCUAUGAAACAAGAACAGGAUGUAAUUAAAAAAGAAACAUUUAGGGAGUAUUAAAGGCCUCAGAGAAUGAAAGAUUAUACCAAUAGGCACAAGUUCACUUUAGGGAUUAGAAAAUUAGAACUAGAAAGUAGGGGAGAAAAGACAACAAAAUAGAAAAUAGGAGAAAAGAUGAGAAAAUCGGAAGACCAAUCAAAGAGGCCUACUGCCCAAAUAUCAAGAGUUCAAGAAAAUUGAAAAGGAAAAAAGUGGAGGGGGGCAAAAUUAUCAAAGAACUAUUUAAAGAAAAUUUCCUAGAACCCAAUGAAAGACAUAUGUUUAUAGACUGAUUACCACUGUGCACCCAAGACAGUGAUUUUAAAAGGCCAACCCCAAAGUACUGUACUGUAAAAUUUCAGAAUACUGCAGACAAACGAUCUCCAAAACUUUUUAAAAACAGAUUAUAGUGAAGGACUGGGAAUAAGCAGCACUGAAUUUAGCAGAAACUAUACGAGAAGCAAAAAGAUAAGAGACAAAAUGUCUUUAAAAUUCUGAAGAAAUUAUUUCCAUCUUACAUUCUAUAUUCAGCCAUCUUAGAAUAAGAUAAAAGAAAAAGCUACAAGCUCCCUCUCUCAAAAAGCCUCUAGAGGUUGCUUGUAUGUGCUUAGAGCUAGGGAAUAAAUCCAUAUAGAUACGAACUCCAGAAAAUAGGGCUUCCAACACAGAAAGAGGUAAAAAUGAUUUCUAGAAACGUAACUGUGCAGCAUACAUAGAAAGUAACCACUUCAGAAUGUGGCAGGAGUAGGGAGAGGUCCAAGUGAUCUCCAAGAAAAACAAAUGAAAUCAGUAAAGGUAUUUUAACAUAUUGAGAUGAUUUUUAUAUAUCUCUUGUGUAGGAAUGAGUUGGUGAUAAGGAUAUAGAAAAUUAAAAAAGAAAAAAACGACAAAAUAAAGCAAGACAGUUGUUAACUCCUGGGAAAACAGUAAAUUGUAAAGAAAAUGUAAUUAGCAGAUUAUAUGCCGAGUUGUGAAAAAUGUUUUUCAAUCAUUAUAAUGUGAACAGUGAAUACAGACUUCACUCCUCAACUUUCAUAGCAGGAAGCUAACAGUUAACAUCUAAAACUGAAGGAGAAAAGAUGACAUAGUGAUAUAAGCAAAAGAAACUGCCAAAGAGAUUAGAAGUGGUUGCCUUUGGGGAGCAUGAAGAGAGAGGUUAAGCAGGAUGGCUACAGUGACUGCUUUUGGAGGGAGGGGCAGAGGCAGGUGUCAUAAGCCUAUGAGUUUUGAAAUUAUGCACAUGUACUGAUUUGAUAAAAACAAAACAAAAAAUUGAAAGAUACUGCAACUUUGAUAUUCUAAGCAACAUAAAAGCCUGUUUCGGCUUGACUAAAAGCAACACAAUAUAGAGUUAACGACAAAGCAUGUCCGCUUUAAAAAUAUUUUUUAAAUGCCUUCCUGAAGUAGAGUGAUCCAGAAUAUGACAGAAGUAUAUUGUUUCACCUCAUAGGUGAUUCUGACUGUGCAAUAUUACUAUUUUCUCAUAGAAAUAUUAUAGACUAUUCAAUAUGACAAAGUCCUACUGUAUAUAGGUUUAAAUCCACAUAGAAAGGUACAUUUUAUUAUUAUGUAUUUAAAAAUCACUUAAACCUAAUUUUCCAAUUACACUGGAAUAGAGAUCUAAUCGAGUAAUCAGAGUGGAAGCAGAGCAAUACUAUGGAACAAGAUGGCACCAAAAGCUAUAGGUACCCAAAUCAAAGCCAGUGCAAAUUUGCUCCUGGAUUAUUUUAGCUCAAUAAAUAUCUCUGGGUUUCCCAGAAAUGGCACAAAAAAAUUUAACAGUCUAAAAAAUUUGCCACAUAGACUAACAGUAUGUUUUUAAGCAAUGGAGCAUCUUUGAUAGGCGUAAGUUUAAAAUUUAAAAUCUAAAACCUCCCUAGAAUUUAAUUUUAUCAGUGAUUGAUUUUUACCAAGUGUGCAUUAAUUUAAUUUACCUUUAACAUAAGAGAUUCUGGGGCUUCAAGUGGUGUGCAGGCAUCAGGAGAGCCUACCAGUUCUGCUCCAUGAAUAGUGAUCUUCUGACCCACAGUCAAUCUCCCGUUCUUUACGAGAGCUAAGAGGGGAGGGUCUAACUGGGCCUUAAUAGCAUACCACCCAUCUGUGAGCUCAAUAAUGCCCACUUUUUUGGUACCCACACUACUAGUUUUACUACUAGAAGUUUCAGAUAUAUCUGCACUUGACGAAAUGAUUUCAGAAAUACAGAGAACAAGUGUUUUUGCAGCUGUGUCAUCCCUUUCCAUUAUCUUCUUUAUAGCUGAUCUUCUGCUUUUAUCAAUUUCCACAUCAUAUCUAAAAAGAAAAAGAAAAACGCAAAUUUUAGGCAUUGGGAGUCUAGAAUUUCAUUGUAAAAAGGUCACCGAAUAAUGGAGAAUAAAAAUUAAAUACUUCUAGUGAAGAACAACUGAGACUAGAGAAUUUAAAAUUUGGUAGCUAGCAAUAUAGUAAGUUUUAUACUGUUAAAAUAUGAAUUAAAUAUUAAAACUCCCCAGAUACAAAAAUAGUUUAUUAGCAAUCCCUGAAAAAUGGAUCAAAUUAGUAAACCAUAUUCUUCUCACAUGCUGAGAGGUUAAGGGAGGGUGAGGUAAGAGGUGUAGGAAUGUGUGAAUUCUCUUAAAGAGGCUGGAGGAUGACAAAAGAACUACUGUGUACCAGUCAGGGAUGUGAGGACAGUGAGGGAUGGCGACUGUCACUGACAACUGGCUCGUGUACCUACCUUCUAUGAUGUAGAAGCCACAGACAGCACAAAAGUCUAAACCUUAUUACAGUAUGUGAUUAUAUAAUGUAAUACAUAAAACUUGCCUGUAUUUUAGUUGAAGAAGCACUCUUUCUGGACUUAGACACCUAUUAGCAAAUUCCUUAGGAAAGGCAAAUUCCAUGGCUGCCAAUUUCCAUAUAAUCCAUCUAUAGUGAUUAUAUACCCAAACUCUAGAAAUACAAUUUGGAUCCACACCUGGGGUGUCACACAGAGCCCUGAACAAAUAAAGGUAGAACAAUAUAAAAAAACCACAUAAGAUGAUACUGAAUUCAAUAACCAUGACUAUUCUUUGCACAAACACUACACUGUACAAGACCAUUCAGUAAGUUUUUAUGAGUUAGCAUAUAAGUAAUAUAAUUUAGAAAAUGAUUUGAUACGCAUCAAAAUAUACUAACAAAAUUAACAUAUAAGUCAAAACACUGACUUCACCUGGAAAAGGAGAUCUUUAAUUUGAAAUAAUCAUGUAUUAUUUUUCUUUUUCUUUUUUAAAGAUUUUAUUUAUUUAUUCAUAAGAGACAUAGGGAGAGAAAGAGGCAGAGACACAGGCAGAGGGAGAAGCAGGCUCCAUGCAGGGAGCCUGAUGUGGAACUCGAUCCCAGGUCUCCAGGAUCAGGCCCUGGGCUAAAGGCGGCGCUAAACCGCUGAUCCACCCCAGCUGCCCUAUUUUUCUUUUUAAAAAUUAAAAAAAAAAAAAAAAAAA